rnacentral:rRNA from 1 species
UACAGAGGUCUCAAGCGUUGUUCGGAUUCAUUGGGCGUAAAGGGUGUGUAGGUGGCGCGCUAAGUCGGGGUGUGAAAUUUCGGAGCUUAACUCCGAAACUGCAUUCGAUACUGGCGUGCUUUGAGGACUGGAGAGGAGACUGGAAUUCAUGGUGUAGCAGUGAAAAUGCGUAGAGAUCAUGAGGAAGACCAGUGGCGAAGGCGGGUCUCUGGACAGUUUCCUGACACUGAGACACGAAGGCCCAGGGGGGAGCAAAACGGGG